rnacentral:rRNA from 1 species
UACGAAGGGUGCAAGCGUUAAUCGGAAUUACUGGGCGUAAAGGGUGCGUAGGCGGUUCGUUAAGUCUGUCGUGAAAUCCCCGGGCUCAACCUGGGAAUGGCGAUGGAUACUGGCGAGCUAGAGUGUGGCAGAGGAUGGUGGAAUUCCCGGUGUAGCGGUGAAAUGCGUAGAGAUCGGGAGGAACAUCAGUGGCGAAGGCGGCCAUCUGGGACAACACUGACGCUGAAGCACGAAAGCGUGGGGAGCGAACAGG